GGCUUUGUAAAAUGCAUUCUAUAACAAUAUUUCCAUCUGCUACAGGAAAACAUUUGUGUCUCUUCUACUUUUGGAGUAGUUGCACAUUUUCUGGCCGAUCUCUCUUCUUUAUGUGAUCUCUCCACAUCUCCUAGGUAAUUGGUCAAGCCUUCUCUAUGUUUCACCUUGAUUUGUAACUUUGAGGAAUCAUUUUUCCACUCGAUUGGAAGGACUCAACGCAUGUUUUUCCGUACUAUAUUCUAGUAUUAUAAAGUAAUAGAGUUUAGCAUACUAAACAUUAGGAAUAUCAAAUACAACACCAGUUAAGGAAUUGUAAUAGUACAAAAUAUGGGCAAGAUACAAGUACAUUAAAAAAAAAUAUAAGCAAGGUAAAACAAGAUCUUUUUUUUCUCUAUGCAACCUAUAAAGGAGAGAUAUUGUUAAUUUAAUGAAAGAAAUAACGAUGGAAAGAAUAAGUGCGGGUUGGAGACUAACUUUUUUCUACAAAUUAUAUGUAAGGUAAAAGAAUUCACAUUGUUGAUCUCAAUUAUCAAUAACCAAGUUGCAUGUAGCAUUUUUAAUCAGCCCCCUCUUUGUAUAUCUAUUUCAUUUGUUUUUUCCAAUGGUAGAUACUUGCUAAGAUUCCAAGACAUUUCAAAAUGGCGUGAUCGAUAUUGAAGAACCUAAUUGUUACAAUUUUACUCUUGCUAAGAAGUCCAUACAUGUAUAAACCAAUGUAAUAAAAUAGAAACUUUUUUUCUAUAGAAGAGGAGAUCUAAGAGGAAGGUGUCAAACACAUUUACAUGAUUAAUAUAGAUGCAUAGGCUUAUAUUUUACAAUACAUAGAGAAAAUGAACCAUCUUUUUUCUCGAUGGAAGCAUAUCUUGUGGUGUACAAAUCAAAUACUCAGUAAGUAGUAUAGUGAAAAGUUGCUCAUAAACGUAGAGAUUAUAGAGGUAUAAUUUUAACCUUUUCUGGAAAUAAAGCAAGAGCCGCGAACAACAACAUUCUCCUGAAUUCUAGAUGUUGGCUGAACCGGAUCCAUAGAACUUGUGCUCAACGAAGGUGGUUACUAGUUAUUUCUUGCAUUUUGAGGCGCUUUCAGUCAUGUCGCUUUUUAUAUUUAGCAACUCUUAUGCCCAACAUUCUACAUAGAUAUUUCACACAAUAAGAUUCGGAGGACAUGUUGGUAUAUUAUACACAUCUUUAGUUUAUGAUCACAAGAUUUAAAAAUUCGUAUCAAGUCAAAACUAAGAUGAGCAAAUUAUAAUGGAGACACCAUAUUUAAGAAAUUUAAAAAGAGAUGAAAACACUACAAGACUCAGCUACAAGAGUAGAAGGUUGAACUCGUGUAUCUGCAUAAUCAUAACAGUCCACUGCAAUCCAAGGCAAAACAAUAGCCGUUAAGACUAUUGUUUCUAAUAUUGACAUCUUUAUCUAUAAGAUGAGAAUUACUUUCACAUUUUUAUCAAAAUGAUUAGGAUUAGGUAAAAUGUGUCGCUUCAGAGAAUUAUCUAACAAUAAAACACAAAUAGAAAUGACAUUUUAUACUCGUUUUUAUGAAAUUGUCGAAGAACUCCCUGUUAGUUAGUAGUUGAUAAAAUUCAGACUAUUACAAUAUAUCUUGGUCUGGUAAAUUUUUUGCAUACCUGAUUGUUUUUAGUACAGUUUCCUAAUGAGAUUUCUUUGGCAUCUGCAUGAACUGACUUAAGGUUUGGACUGUAAAAGUCACACAAAGUAACUUUCCAAUCAAUUUCUGAUAAGCAUUAACAUCAUAUAAUAACUCAUCUCCUAUAAUAUUAGUUGCCUCAUCAUACUCCCUAGUAGUGAAUGUUGGUUUUAGCAAAACGUGAAUGACAAAAAGAGAAAAAAAUGGAAAUGUGAGGGAACAAUAUGGAGGGAAAAUGAAAAGUCAUAUGCAAAGUGCAAAUGAAAAGUCAGUUUUUUCAUAUCGGUAAAAAAAAGGAAAAUUGUUGUCUUUAUAUUUGGAAACACUUCAUAUACUUCUUAAAGGUUAAGAAGAAGGUGCCCCCUCACGUCGUCGUCGCUUGGCUUCGGAUGUGAUUGAUUGAUAAAUUUUUUGGACAAAAUUUAUUUAAUCAAUUCUGUUAUUCAAAUUUUUCUCUUAUAAAUUAAUUCAGGAUGUUAGUUAUAACAUAAUUAAUUUUGGCGCGACGAAAUUUAUUUAAAAUUCACGUGCAGCGUAAUAACAAUCUAAUUUCUAAAAAGUCAUUAUUUUUUCCAAAAGACACACCUUUUCGAAAAGUUAUUAUUUUUCUCAAAGACACAACCUUCUAAAAAAAAGGGGUUUGAACAGACAGUGGCAGAGCCACGAAUUUCGCCAAGGGUGUUCAAACUAUAAAGAAUUGAUAAAUAUUUUUUAGCAGAGUGGGUGCACAAAAUAUAUGUUUUUACGGAUGAGUAGGUGCACCCAAAUUUUAAAAUUAAAAUAUAUAUCAUAAUUAGUAAAUUAUACGGAAAUUUUUUUAUACGGAAAUUUAAAAUUAUAAAACUAUCAAUUGUACAAAUCAAUACUAAUUGAAAAGGUCCAAAAAACAAUUUUAGCUAUUAGUUGAAUAUACCACCUCUAGUUCAUAUUAAGUGAAUUGUUGAGACUUUUUUCAUGAUUCAAAAUAAGUACAUGUUUCAAAGAUCAAGAGAAAUGUCGAAACUUUUUUCCAUAAUUACAUUCUUAACUAUUUUACAUUUUGUAAAACAAUAGUUUAUAAAUAAUAAAAAAACUAUAAUAAUUCACUUAAUAUAGAUAGAAAGUACAAAGAAAACAAUAAAAUCUUAAUUAUUAGGUCAAUCAAAAUUUAUGGUUGAUAAUUAGGUGUUAUUUCUUAUUUAGAAAAUACUGUUAAAAACGCAGCUAAGAAGGAUCCAAUCACCACGUCAAAGACCUAAAUUACCCAAAAAAAUAUUGUGUUAAAACAUAGCAUCCUGUGGGAUCGAACCAGGGACCUCAAAGCCCUACACAUGCGUGCUUACCGCCAGACCACAAACCUAUGUUAUACAUAAGAGUGUUCAAUUUAUUAAAUAUACAUAUAUUAGAUAGUAUUUUACUUCCGUACAACGUAUAGUUUUCCGAUGAAGGGUGUUCACCUGACCAACCUUACAACACUGUAGUUCCGCCCCUGUGAAUAGAUGAGUUUGAAGAGAUACGUUUUUUUUGCUGAAAAUGGCUAUAAAAAGGAAGUCAUUUUUCGUUUUCAAACAUUUAAAUUUUUUUCCUUCUCUUUGCAUACAUUUUCUCUCAUAAACAAACUUGUCGAUCGACUGAGUUAGUGUGUGACUAGUUGUUUUUCAUACGUUCGUUGAAGUUGUUGAGUUUGAGGUACCGCUACUUCUUUAACAGGUUAAUCCAUUUUAUCUUGGAAGAAAUUAAUUCAUAACCUCGGGUACCAUAAGGGGAUUAAAUUUCUUAAGGAGACACUAUAAUAGUUAAAAUAGAAACAAAAAGAAGAUGAAAUAGACAGGAAAAAAAUCCGAGUCCUCAAAAAACCUUAGUACAGUUAGUAACAUCGAAAAGUUAAAGAGUAUGAAUAUACUCCUCCGUUAUGAUUCCACUCAAACACUUUUCCCCACUUAUAGUAAAUUUACUUGCAUUCAAGUACUUUAGCUUACAUAGAAAAAUAUAAAAUAAAAUCAAAACUUGUGCUUUUGAAAGUGUGAGUUACAUAUAUUUCAAAUGAUAUUUAAAAAAAACAAUACUUGUCACCAAUUCUAGAGUAGGGGGCAUGUACUACAACUCUUGCUCCUAAGAUUAAAAUUAAUGAUGGAUUUAUAUGUGUAUAUUCAUGGAAAUCAAAAUUUGUGAACGUUUUCUAUAUUAUCAAAGUUAUGUAAUCGCGUUUCACAACAGGGCUGGUUCAUAUAAGUAAAUUUGAAGCCUCAUCAUAAGAUUAGAGAAAUAUAUAGUUAAAAACUAAGAGAGAUCCUUUCAGUCGAGAAAAGAAUCAUUUUUAUUUAGUUGUUCAUCGGGAAAACUCGAGAGUAUGAAUAUGCCCCUGUUUUAUGAUUCCACUUACAUACUUUCACCGUUUUUUGGGUCAAUGACAGUUCAAACUCCCUGUUAUGAUCCUACUUAACCCACUUAAAUACUUUCCUCGACUUUCAAUCUGCCAUAUCUUAUAUUAUACUAAUUCACUCUUCAUUCAUUCCAUAGUUUUGCUGAAUAUAUUGUAAUAGCCAUUCUCCAAGUGUUCAUGUUGAAUUCUACAAACGACAUAACAAUCAUUUGUGCACAUAAAGUGAUUAGUAUGUACUUACUGCACAUCACAUAAUAGCUCAACUCUUGUAGUAUUAGUUGCCUCAUCAUACUCCCUAGUGCUAAAACUUGAGAGUAUGAAUACUCCAUUAUGAUUCAACUCAAAUACUUAAUUCCCCGACUUAUGGUUAAAUUUAAUUGCAUUCAAGCACUUCAACUUAAAUACAAUAAUAUUUUUUUUCAAACAAUUUUAAAAUUUGCGUGUUUGAAAGUGUGAGUUGUCGAUGUUUCAAAUGGUAUUCCAAUAAGACAAUAAUUUGUCACCUAUUCUGGAAUAGAGGUCAUGUACUACAACUCUUACACCUAAGAUCAAAGUCAAUGAUGAAGUUUAUAUCUGUAUAUUCAUUGGAAUCAAAAUUUGAGAAAGCUUUCUAUAAUAUCGAGUUCUGAAAUCGCAUUUUACAGCAGGGCUGGUCCAUAUACUUCAAUCUUGAAGUGUGAGAGUUUUUUGAGAAGUACACUUGAAGUCUUAUCAUAAGAUCAAGAACUAUAUGACUAAAAACUAUGAGAAAUCCUUUUAGCCGAGAAGUGACUCAUUUUUAUUCGUUGUUCAUCUGGAAAAGUCAAGAGUACGAAUAUGCCCCUUAGUUAUGAUUCCACUUAAAUACUUUCCCCGAUGUUAGGUCAAGGACAGAGUUCAAACUCCCCGUAUGGUCCUACUAAUCCCACUUAAAUACUUUCCUCGACUUUGGAUCAAUGAUAAAUUCAAACUCGUGAUGUGCAUAGUUUUUAGUGUAAUUUUUCUAUUGAUUCUCCAACCAGUAAAAUGAUUUUUACUCAAACAUUAGUGAUAAUUUAAAUUCUAAAGGUUAGUAUACUUAUUGUAGAUCUACUGAUAGAUCAAUAGGUCAAUUUCUCUUAUUGCGGAUGCUUAACUUCACACAACAAGUGAAAAUAAUUUCAAAAUAUUAAUGCAAUAAGGUGAAGAAACUCCAAGCUAAAUCUACAACAGCCCAGAAAAUUGAUUUCGAUGGAAAAUCCAUGUAUGAAAUUAAAACAGUGAAAGUAUAAUUACCUAAUCAAAAUUGAAAGCACAAGCAUUAAAAUUAUUUGAACUUCCAAAGCACAAGAAAAAUCAAACAUCAAUAACAAAUCCAAAUGAAAAAGGAGGCAAAUGUUGACACAACCAAUUCAAAUUUGAUGAAAGAGAGAUAAAUUAAAGAGAUUUCUGAACUUUAAUUUUAGAAAAACUGAAUGAAAACACAAAAGAGACUUACCUGGAUAGAAUGUUGAAGAAAGGAGAAAGAACUGAUGUGAACAUAAGUGAGGUGUAAAUUGAAAACAUGGGAGAAAGACACGUUGUAAUAAUAGGGAAUUGAAGAGAUGAAAAUACCCUUUAGAGCAGUAAAGUAGGCAUG
rnacentral:lncRNA from 1 species